UGCAUCGGCCGGGAAUCGAACCCGGGCAGGGUUCGAGUGGCAGGCGAGCAUUCUACCACUGAACCACCGAUGG
rnacentral:tRNA from 1 species